UCGGGCGUAGUGUACGGAACACCGCGAGUUCAACUUGCUGAAAGAGUCUACGUAAACUCGCAAUCCGGGGUUCGACUCCCCGCGUCCGAC